rnacentral:rRNA from 1 species
AAAUUGAAGAGUUUGAUCAUGGCUCAGAUUGAACGCUGGCGGCAGGCCUAACACAUGCAAGUCGAACGGUAACAGGAAGCAGCUUGCUGCUUUGCUGACGAGUGGCGGACGGGUGAGUAAUGUCUGGGAAACUGCCCGAUGGAGGGGGAUAACUACUGGAAACGGUAGCUAAUACCGCAUAACGUCGCAAGACCAAAGAGGGGGACCUUAGGGCCUCUUGUCAUCGGAUGUGCCCAGAUGGGAUUAGCUAGUAGGUGGGGUAA